rnacentral:rRNA from 1 species
CAGUCGAGGGGUAUAGGUUUUCGGACCUAGAGACCGGCGCACGGGUGCGUAACGCGUAUGCAAUCUACCUUUUACAGAGGGAUAGCCCAGAGAAAUUUGGAUUAAUACCUCAUAGUAUUAUUGAAUGGCAUCAUUUAAUAAUUAAAGUCACAACGGUAAAAGAUGAGCAUGCGUCCCAUUAGCUUGUUGGUAAGGUAACGGCUUACCAAGGCAACGAUGGGUAGGGGUCCUGAGAGGGAGAUCCCCCACACUGGUACUGAGACACGGACCAGACUCCUACGGGAGGCAGCAGUGAGGAAUAUUGGUCAAUGGGCGCAAGCCUGAACCAGCCAUGCCGCGUGCAGGAUGAAGCAUCUAUGGUGUGUAAACUGCUUUUGUACGAGAAGAAACACUCCUUCGUGAAGGAGCUUGACGGUAUCGUAAGAAUAAGGACCGGCUAACUCCGUGCCAGCAGCCGCGGUAAUACGGAGGGUCCAAGCGUUAUCCGGAAUCAUUGGGUUUAAAGGGUCCGUAGGCGGUUUUGUAAGUCAGUGGUGAAAGCCCAUCGCUCAACGGUGGAACGGCCAUUGAUACUGCAAGACUUGAAUUAUUAGGAAGUAACUAGAAUAUGUAGUGUAGCGGUGAAAUGCUUAGAUAUUACAUGGAAUACCAAUUGCGAAGGCAGGUUACUACUAAUGGAUUGACGCUGAUGGACGAAAGCGUGGGGAGCGAACAGGAUUAGAUACCCUGGUAGUCCACGCCGUANACGAUGGAUACUAGCUGUUCGGAGCAAUCUGAGUGGCUAAGCGAAAGUGAUAAGUAUCCCACCUGGGGAGUACGUUCGCAAGAAUGAAAC